GCGGACGUGGUGAAAUUGGUAGACACGCUGGAUUUAGGUUCCAGUGGCGCAAGCUGUGAGAGUUCGAGUCUCUCCGUCCGCA
rnacentral:tRNA from 3 species